UGGGGAAUAUUAGUAAUGGGCGAAAGCCUGACGCAGCGACGCCGCGUGAGGGACGAAGGUCUUCGGAUUGUAAACCUCUUUCAGCAGGGACGAAGCGAAAGUGACUGUACCUGCAGAAGAAGCACCGGCUAACUACGUGCCAGCAGCCGCGGUAAUACGUAGGGUGCAAGCGUUGUCCGGAUUUAUUGGGCGUAAAGAGCUCGUAGGCGGUUUGUCGCGUCGGAUGUGAAAACCCAAUGGCUUAACCUUGGGCCUGCAUUCGAUACGGGCAAACUAGAGUGUGGUAGGGGAGACUGGAACUCCUGGUGUAGCGGUGGAAUGCGCAGAUAUCAGGAAGAACACCGAUGGCGAAGGCAGGUCUCUGGGCCAUAACUGACGCUGAGGAGCGAAAGCGUGGGGAGCGAACA
rnacentral:rRNA from 1 species